rnacentral:rRNA from 1 species
UUUUAUGGAGAGUUUGAUCCUGGCUCAGGAUGAACGCUGGCGGCGUGCCUAAUACAUGCAAGUCGAGCGAACGGAUGAGAAGCUUGCUUCUCUGAUGUUAGCGGCGGACGGGUGAGUAACACGUGGAUAACCUACCUAUAAGACUGGGAUAACUUCGGGAAACCGGAGCUAAUACCGGAUAAUAUUUUGAACCGCAUGGUUCAAAAGUGAAAGACGGUCUUGCUGUACUUAUAGAUGGAUCCGCGCUG